CAUUAGGUAACUUAAAGCAAGUAAUGGUCUCUUAAACCACCUAAUAGUUGAGUAGCGCUGACUUCUAAUGA
rnacentral:tRNA from 1 species